rnacentral:rRNA from 1 species
UACGGAGGGAGCUAGCGUUGUUCGGAAUUACUGGGCGUAAAGCGCACGUAGGCGGCUUUGUAAGUUAGAGGUGAAAGCCCGGGGCUCAACUCCGGAACUGCCUUUAAGACUGCAUCGCUUGAAUCCAGGAGAGGUGAGUGGAAUUCCGAGUGUAGAGGUGAAAUUCGUGGAUAUUCGGAAGAACACCAGUGGCGAAGGCGGCUCACUGGACUGGUAUUGACGCUGAGGUGCGAAAGCGUGGGGAGCAAACAGG